AUACGUAAUGUGAAUUGCAGAAUUCAGUGAAUCAUCGAAUCUUUGAAUGCACCUUGCGCCCCUUGGUAUUCCGAGGGGCACACCCGUUUGAGCGUCGUGAAAAUCUCAACCUCCUUUGUUCCUUCCGGGGACCAAAGGAGGCUUGGAC
rnacentral:rRNA from 1 species